rnacentral:rRNA from 1 species
GGCGAACGCUGGCGGCGUGCUUAACACAUGCAAGUCGAGCGGUAAGGCCCUUUCGGGGGUACACGAGCGGCGAACAGGUGAGUAACACGUGGGUGACCUGCCCUCAGCUCUGGGAUAAGCCUGGGAAACUGGGUCUAAUACUGGAUAUGACUCCACGGUGCAUGUCGUGGGGUGGAAAGCCUUGUGCGGCUGAGGAUGGGCCCGCGGCCUAUCAGCUUGUUGGUGGGGUGAUGGCCUACCAAGGCGACGACGGGUAGCCGGCCUGAGAGGGCGACCGGCCACACUGGGACUGAGACACGGCCCAGACUCCUACGGGAGGCAGCAGUGGGGAAUCUUGCGCAAUGGGCGAAAGCCUGACGCAGCGACGCCGCGUGAGGGAUGACGGCCUGCGGGUUGUAAAGCAC